rnacentral:rRNA from 1 species
GGACGAACGCUGGCGGCGCGCCUAACACAUGCAAGUCGAACGAGCGAGAGGGAGCUUGCUUUCUCGAGCGAGUGGCGAACGGGUGAGUAACGCGUGAGGAACCUGCCUCAAAGAGGGGGACAACAGUUGGAAACGACUGCUAAUACCGCAUAAGCCCACGACCCGGCAUCGGGUUGAGGGAAAAGGAGCAAUCCGCUUUGAGAUGGCCUCGCGUCCGAUUAGCUAGUUGGUGAGGUAAACGGCCCACCAAGGCAACGAUCGGUAGCCGGACUGAGAGGUUGAACGGCCACAUUGGGACUGAGACACGGCCCAGACUCCUACGGGAGGCAGCAGUGGGGAAUAUUGCACAAUGGGGGAAACCCUGAUGCAGCGACGCCGCGUGGAGGAAGAAGGUCUUCGGAUUGUAAACUCCUGUUGUUGAGGAAGAUAAUGACGGUACUCAACAAGGAAGUGACGGCUAACUACGUG